AUGCCUUAAACUAAUGAGUAAGGAAAAUAACGAGCUGGGGUGACGCCUGGUUCCUCAUUACAUACAUGAGAAAAAUUUUUGAGCGGGUACAGGUUACCCCUAGAGGAUCCACCUACCUUGUGGGACCUUAAGGUGAAGUGGUCUGCCCG